UUUGUUGCCUACACAUAGUGUUUCUCUGCC
rnacentral:piRNA from 1 species